GACAGCAUUUUAUUUCUGAUUUCUAAACAAAGAAUGGCUGCCACUGCUCUGAGCACGAAUGUAGCUACGGGCUUAGCAAGAGGCGCACGUUUACUGCCUCUACAACGCGCGUUACCAAAACCCAGUACAGCAUGGUUAUCCUCGAACACGGGUUUCAAUCCUCCGCAACCCGGAUGCAGAAAGAACAAAAAUGUAGCUGCUAGAAAGCUUGUAGUUAGAGCUGCUAGAACUGAGUCUAAUGGUGUCUCUCUAGGCUUUAGAGCUCCUAAUUUCCAGUUGCCAGAGCCUUUAACUGGGAAAAUAUGGGAACUUGAAGAUUUUGAGUCGCAUCCUGCUUUACUGGUUUUGUUUAUUUGCAAUCACUGUCCGUUUGUUAUACACUUGAAGAAGGUUCUAGUCAAGCUUUCAAAUUUUUAUAUGAAGAAAGGACUUGCAGUUGUUGCCAUUUCUUCAAAUUCUGUGGCUACUCACCCUCAGGAUGGACCACAGUUCAUGGCAGAAGAUGCCAAAUUAUUUAAGUACCCAUUUCCUUACCUAUAUGAUGAGUCACAAGAAGUUGCUCAAAAUUUUGGAGCAGUUUGCACGCCAGAGUUUUUCUUGUUUAAAAAGGAUGGUCGGAGGCCAUUUGAGCUGGUGUAUCAUGGCCAGUUUGAUGAUUCCCGACCCAGUAAUAAUGUUCCUGUCACAGGCAGGGACUUAAGUCUGGCAAUAGAUUGCGUUCUUAGUAGCCAGCCAGUCUCACCAGUUCAGAAACCAAGUAUUGGAUGCAGCAUAAAGUGGCAUCCUGAAGCAGGGCUGUAACCUUCUAAGUUUGGUCUCAAGAUCAUAAAUCUUCCAGUCUUGAUUUCUUUCUCAGCAUUGCUGUUACAUCUUUCAUUGUUGGUCGGUCCUCUGGCAAAGGGUUCACACAGAGGAGGGCCACUCCAAGCACCUGAAGCAUUUCUUGAAGUUGUGUGCCUGAUCGAAGCAGGAGCUGCUGGUCUAGAAUUGUCGUGAAUUCUUUUCUUCUUUCUCGAAGUUCCUUGUUAACCCAAGUGACAAUGUGUGCACCUUCAGGAAUCCGGUUAUCUGUUGGUUCUUUUCCUGUUAACACUUCUAGAAGAACUACACCAUAGCUGUACACAUCACUCCUCUCUGUGAUUCUGAAACUGUAUCCAUAUUCUGCAUUUCGGAAAAUAGUUAACGAUGUACACUAUAAAGAUUGGAAGCAGUUUACAUUCUGCAUUUUCGCAACUUUAAAAAAUUUACUACAGUAAUUUCUGAAGUAUGGAGAUGCAUAUACUCACCUGGAGCUAUGUAUCCAUAAGAACCGGCGAUUGUCUUGGAAACUUCCGAAGAUUCUGCAGUAUCAAUGAGCUUGGCGAGUCCAAAAUCUGCAAGAAAAGCUUCAAAUUGUGGCCCUACCAAUAUAUUAUUCGCCUUGAUGUCACGAUGCACAAUUGGAGGAGUACAAUCAUGAUGAAGAUAUUCCAGGCCAUGAGCUGCUCCUAGUAUGAUAUUAUAUCUUGCAUCCCAAUCCAAGAAUACCUUCUUUUCGUGAAGUAAUCCAGCCAAGCUCCCAUUGCUGAUAUAGUCAAACAGCAGCAGUUUGGUUUUUCCAUUGUUACAACAUCCCAGAAGCCUAACUAUAUUUUUAUGUCUGAUUGAUCCAAGCGUUGUAACUUCUGCUGUAAACCAGUCUCUGUCUGCUGCCUCUCCAUUCUUGACAGGCCAUAGCUUUUUUACUGCAACAACUUGUCUCAGUGGAGUCUCAACACGAUAAACCAUUCCCGAACAACCUUUACCAAUGAUGUUUGAAUCUGAGAGCCUUGGUUGACGAAUUUUGAUGAAUAUAAGUACACCCACAAGCACAACCAAUAAUGUGACAGUUAAACUGAGAAGAGUACACAGGACAAGGUUUCGAGUGUUCUUGCCAUGAUGAUUUCCACUUAAAUUGCACUUGUUUCUGUUUACGCAUAGCUCAGAAUUACUAGAAUAUGCAGUUUCUGGAAGAUCAUGGAAGAACUUGGUAUCAGGAAGCAGACCUGAGAAUUUGUUGUUGGAGACAUCUAACGAAACAAGAUUGUCAAGACUACCCAAUACUGUAAGUGCUCCUGUGAGUUCGUUAUGAGAGAGGUCGAGGUUGGCAAGUUUGGAGAGGUUUGAAAAGCUUUCUGGAAUUGAAGUUGUUAGAGAAUUCCUACUCAAAUUCAAAAGGAUAUCUAAUCCUUGCAACUGACCAAUCUCAUUCGGGAUUGGACCCGUGAGUCUGUUGCUGCUAAUAUCCAACAGCUGCAGAUCCCUACAUAAACCAAGUGACUUGGGAAUCAAACCAGUAAUAUGGUUUUCACUGAUUACUAAUUUAUUGAUUGAUGUUAGCUUUCCUAAAUUCUCAGGGAUGAUGCCUGUUAUACUGUUGUUUGAAAGGUCUAACACAUUUAAAUUAAGAAGAGAAUCGAGAGUUGUGGGGAUGACGCCUUGGAGCCUAUUUCCAUGCAAAUCAACCAUUUCUAGUUGAGUGCAGUUGCCGAUUUCUCGAGGGAUUUCUCCAGUAAAUUGAUUAUCUGACAAUUCAAGGAAGCUCAAGUUUUGCAGGAACCCUAUUUCUGAUGGAAUUUGACCACUAAAGUUGUUUGAUCCUAGUCGCAAACGGACCAAACCAAUGCAAUUGCCAAUAUCAGAUGGAAGUUCACCUGAAUGUCCAUUUGAUAACAACAGCAACUGGGUUAAGUUCUUGAGAUGAAAGAGAGAAUGUGGAACUGACCCUGUGAGGAAGUUGUGAGAAAGAUCUAAUGCUUGAAGUUUCUUGCAGUUGGCUAGCUCAGCAGGUAUGCUUCCAUGGAGCUGGUUCUGCCAGGCAAAGAAAAGUGAAAGCUCCGUUAGUUGCCCAAUGGUGGCUGGAAUCUCACCGGAGAAGUUGUUAUUAUCCAGCUCAAGCUGCUUUAGACCAGAAAAGUUUCCAACAAAAGGUGGAAUUUCUCCUGAAAGGUAAUUAUCAGACAAAAGAAGCUCCUCCAAUGCUACUAAAUUGGCUAGGGACACAGGAACCACACCGGUUAGAGAAUUCAUGGAGAGAUCAAUAACUUCCAAAUCUGUACAUUUUCCUAGGACUUCAGGCAUGUGCCCAGUGAGGUUAUUCUGCCAUAGCAACAGCCUCUUGAGAUUUGUCAAUGAAGCCAAUUCUUCAGGAAUGUUGCCUGAAAGUCGGUUUUCAUACAGAAAAAGAUCUUCUAAGGCUGAGCAAUUACCAAUUUCUGCCGGGAUAUUACCACUGAGAUUAGCUGUAUAAACUGAAAGCGUCUUGAGAUACUUCAGUUCUCCUAUACUACUCGGAAUCUGCCCUGAAAUCCCAGUGUCUGCAAGACCCAAAUACAGCAGUCCUUUACAGUUUGAUACCUGCAUUGGGAUUUCACCAUGAAGUCCUUGGUUUCCACCGGCACGAAAGAUCUCCAGAGCAAUCAACUGGCCUAUUUCUGCCGGAAUAUUUCCAGAGAGCUCGUUAUCAAAUAGUUCAAGCUGUCUAAGCUCCGAACAGUUUCCUAUUUCUCUAGGAAGCUCACCAUGUAGCAUAUUCGUAUUCAACGAAAGCGACUGCAAUUGAAACAGCCUUCCGAUCUCUGCUGGGAUAUUUCCUGUUAAAGCAUUGAAACUAAGGUCCAAGUUGAUCAGCGACGAAAGAUUCGCAAUAGAAGCUGGAAUUUCGCCUGUCAGAUUUCCAUUGGAAAGAAUAAGAGUAGUAAGAUGGUUAAGGGAAUAGAACUGAGUGGGGAAGGUGGUAGGAAUACUAAUAUUGUCGAUUCUUACUUGCGAAACAAAACCAUUUGUUGAACAUUUCACAAACUUCCAGUUGCAGGGAUUUUGGUGGCUCGGAUCCCAUGAAGCGAAAACGUUAGCUGACAGAGAAGAAUUGAAAGUUGAAAGCCAUGAAAGUAAAGAAUGACCUUCUUGGUUUAAAGCAGAAAUGGCUGGAAAAAGAGAGAUGUUAAGCAACAAGAGAAAAAUAGUGAUUGCAUUGCUUGACAUCAUGACAUGAGGUUGGUACUCUCUUUCUACUGCUCAUUUAAUUAUAGCAAAUCUCAGUUUCAUAAACUUUUCUUUUUAUGAAACUGUGGUACUGAAAUACCCUUGCUUUCAUCCAUAUUUACUUUCAUAAUUGAUGAAAUGCUUCACCUUUACAUAAAUAGCACCAAUACUUUUUGUUUAAAGAAUGUUAGGAUAGAUUGGGCAAGUCUUGCUUUGUAUGUUUACUGUGGCAACAAAUGUGAAAAUGUGGUCUUUCAUUUUUUAUUUUUAAUGUUUUUCAGUCAAUACUCAUAAUUAUAAGUGGUAAUUGCAAAAAACACCCUUAUAUUUCACCUUUAUAGCGAUUUAAGUACGCCUUCUAAUGCAUAGCACAUAAAAUCAAACCUUAUUUCUUGACAUUUUUGUCACCAAACGACGCUUUUUUUGACGGUUUUUAAUGAAUGAAAACUCCGGAUAAUGCUUUGGGGCUAAAGUAUCUAGAAAUUAAAGGUUGAGCAUCUUGGUACCAUGUUUUAAAAGAUGUGUUUAAAUUGCUAUAAAGGUGAAAAGUACGACCUUUUUUUGCAUAAAUAUAAUUAUAAUGGAUGAGAAGAAAAAUAUUUAGUUGGAAAUAAAAAAUUGAGGCCAUGUGAAUUUGGGGGUGUGGUGAGGGAUGAGGAUAAGAUGCUAAAUGAAAAUAUGGAAGAAAGAGGACAAACAGAAGAGUCCGGUUUGCAAAAAUGAUGUUAUUGCAUUAUGCAAUUGUAUUUGGAAGUUUUUGCUGGAAAGCAAUAGCUCACAAAGUAUCUUGUCAUUAAUUGAAAAACACACUUCUAUGUGUAGCUUAAGGUAAAUUAUUUAAUUUAUAACACAUCAAACUAUGUAUUUUCUUUAUUAGUAAUAUUUUGAACUUGCUCC